UACGAAGGUGGCAAGCGUUGUUCGGAUUUACUGGGCGUACAGGGAGCGUAGGCGGUUGGAUAAGCCCUCCGUGAAAUCUCUAGGCUUAACCUGGAAAGUGCAGAGGGGACUGUUCAGCUAGAGGAUGGGAGAGGAGCGCGGAAUUCCCGGUGUAGCGGUGAAAUGCGUAGAGAUCGGGAGGAAGGCCGGUGGCGAAGGCGGCGCUCUGGAACAUUUCUGACGCUGAGGCUCGAAAGCGUGGGGAGCAAACAGG
rnacentral:rRNA from 1 species